ACGAACGCUGGCGGCGUGCUUAACACAUGCAAGUCGAACGGAAAGGCCCUGCUUUUGUGGGGUGCUCGAGUGGCGAACGGGUGAGUAACACGUGAGUAACCUGCCCUUGACUUUGGGAUAACUUCAGGAAACUGGGGCUAAUACCGGAUAGGAGCUCCUGCUGCAUGGUGGGGGUUGGAAAGUUUCGGCGGUUGGGGAUGGACUCGCGGCUUAUCAGCUUGUUGGUGGGGUAGUGGCUUACCAAGGCUUUGACGGGUAGCCGGCCUGAGAGGGUGACCGGCAACAUUGGGACUGAGAUACGGCCCAGACUCCUACGGGAGGCAGCAGUGGGGAAUAUUGCACAAUGGGCGGAAGCCUGAUGCAGCAACGCCGCGUGCGGGAUGACGGCCUUCGGGUGGUAAACCGCUUUCGCCUGUGACGAAGCGUGAGUGACGGUAAUGGGUAAAGAAGCACCGGCUAACUACGU
rnacentral:rRNA from 1 species